AACGAACGCUGGCGGCAUGCCUAACACAUGCAAGUCGAACGAGACCUUCGGGUCUAGUGGCGCACGGGUGCGUAACGCGUGGGAACCUGCCCUUAGGUUCGGAAUAACUCCCCGAAAGGGGUGCUAAUACCGGAUAAUGUCUUCGGACCAAAGAUUUAUCGCCUUUGGAUGGGCCCGCGUUGGAUUAGCUAGUUGGUAGGGUAAAAGCCUACCAAGGCGACGAUCCAUAGCUGGUCUGAGGGGAUGAUCAGCCACACUGGGACUGAGACACGGCCCAGACUCCUACGGGAGGCAGCAGUGGGGAAUAUUGGACAAUGGGCGAAAGCCUGAUCCAGCAAUGCCGCGUGAGUGAUGAAGGCCUUAGGGUUGUAAAGCUCUUUUACCCGGGAUGAUAAUGACAGUACCGGGAGAAUAAGCUCCGGCGAACUCCGU
rnacentral:rRNA from 1 species